rnacentral:rRNA from 1 species
GGAGUCUGGGCCGUGUCUCAGUCCCAAUGUGGCCGUCCGCCCUCUCAGGCCGGCUACCGAUCGUCGCUUUGGUGGGCCGUUACCCCGCCAACUGGCUAAUCGGACGCGGGCCCAUCUCACACCACCGGAGUUUUUCUACACUGUACCAUGCAGUACCGUGCGCUUAUGCGGUAUUACCAGCCGUUUCCAGCUGCUAUCCCCCAGUGUGAGGCAGGUUGCCCACGCGUUACUCACCCGUCCGCCACUAAGUAUCAACAAGAUUUGACCGAAAUCGCAUCAGCGUUGAUACCCCGUUCGACUUGCAUGUGUUAGGCACGCCGCCAGCGUUCAUC